GGACCGGUUAGCUCAGUCAGUUGAGCGUGGCACUAACAACGCUAAGGUCACAGGUUCAAUUCCCAUUCGGUCCC
rfam:Apaloderma vittatum contig56010, whole genome shotgun sequence.